rnacentral:rRNA from 1 species
UGGGGAAUAUUGGACAAUGGGGGCAACCCUGAUCCAGCCAUGCCGCGUGAAUGAUGAAGGCCUUCGGGUUGUAAAGUUCUUUUGGGUGGGACGAUGAUGACGGUACCACCAGAAUAAGCUCCGGCUAACUUCGUGCCAGCAGCCGCGGUAAUACGAAGGGAGCUAGCGUUGUUCGGAAUUACUGGGCGUAAAGGGCGCGUAGGCGGUUCGACAAGUCAGAUGUGAAAGCCCUGGGCUCAACCCGGGAACUGCGUUUGAUACUGUCGAGCUUGAAUUCGGGAGAGGUGAGUGGAAUUCCCAGUGUAGAGGUGAAAUUCGUAGAUAUUGGGAAGAACACCGGUGGCGAAGGCGGCUCACUGGACCGACAUUGACGCUGAGGCGCGAAAGCGUUGGGAGCAAACA